rnacentral:lncRNA from 1 species
CACAAAACUAGUCGGUGUUAGUGGCCGGUUGCCAUGGCAGCGGCUUCAGUACAGCAUGGCUGCAGCAGCGUGAUGACGUCACAGAAUUUGGAACUUUGAGGUGAAUCAGAUCCAGAGUUGAGGAUUUUAGUGAUCAGUUCUGCUUGCAUCUGCGACUGAACUGCACACAGAGAGAGAAGUUCCCAUACAGCCAGAGAGAGAGAGUUAUUCAGAGAGACAGAGAGAGAGACAGAGAGAGAGACAGAGACAGAGAGAGAGACCGAGAGAGACACAAGGAGAGAGAGACCGAGAGACAGAGCGGUUUAUUCCUCAGAGAGGUUUAUUCCUCCACACUCCUGUGACUAAUUCACUGCAGAACAGCAGAACCAGAGAAGGAGUCAUGGCGAAAGACCAGUACACCAGAGACCUGGAGAAGCUGAUCAUGGAGCAGAGAGACACAACGUCCAGAGUGCUCAAACAGUGGACAAUCGAGAAGGCUGAAUGGGACGCGGAGAAAAAGAAGAUGAAGCUGGAAAUCGAAGAACUGAAGAAGGAAGGAGAGAGGCUCACCCUGAGAAAGAAGAAAGAGGAAGAGCAGAUGCACUCUAAAAAUGUGGGAGAUGUGAAGGAUCUCCUAGAAAUGAAACAGGUGCAACAAGCCAUGGAACGCCUUCAGAAGUCAGAGAAGGAAAAAAGAGAUCGAAUCCUGCAGGCCUGGACUGUGGCAAGUAAGGAAUGGGAGGAGGAGAAAAAGAAGAUGAAGCUGGAAAUGGAACAGCUGAAGAAGAAAGACAAAGAGCAGACGGGAGAUGUGAAGGAUCUCCUAAAAAUGACAGUAGUGCAGAAAGCAGUGGAUCUCAUUCAGAAGUCAGAGACUGAAAGAAUUGAUAGGAUCCUGCUGGCCUGGACUAAAGCAAGUGAUGAAUGGAAGGAGAAAGAAAAGAAGAUGAAGCUGGAAAUUGAACAGCUGAUGGAAGAAGGAGAGAAGCUGAAAGCGAUGAAGCAGAAAGACGAAGAGCAGACGGUAGAGGUGAAGAAGGAUCUCCUAGAAAUGAGAGUGGUCCAGAAAGCAGUGGAUCUGAUUCAGAAAACAGAGACUGAAAAAAGAGACAGAAUCCUGCAGGCCUGGACCGAAGCAAGUGAUGAAUGGAAGGAAAAGAUGGAGAUGGUGAUGAAAGAAAGAGAGAAGGAGAAGAAGGAGAUGGAAAAGAGGAGGGAAGAGAGGAAGAAAAAGAAGGAGAUGGAAAAGAUGAGGAACGAGAGAGAAGCCAGGGUGAUGAAGGAGGAAAAGAAGAAGAAAGAACAGAAAGAGAAGGAGGAGAGAGAGAUGGAGGAGAUGGUGCAGAAAAUGGAAGCACUAACCCUUGACUCCAGCUGGCAAAAGACUCGCCUCAAGAUGAGGAGAAGAAAAAUAGUUCCAUUUAAUCAUCUUUUCUGAUUCCCAAUUUCUUCUGAUCCCUCUUUUAAGAUUUCAAUAAAUCAGUUUUUAUUGAAACUGAAUAAAGC